rnacentral:rRNA from 1 species
UUGACUAGCUGAGAGGAGGUGCAUGGCCGUCGUCAGUUCGUACUGUGAAGCAUCCUGUUAAGUCAGGCAACGAGCGAGACCCACGCCAACAGUUGCCAGCAUGUCCUCCGGGAUGAUGGGGACACUGUUGGGACCGCCUCUGCUAAAGAGGAGGAAGGAAUGGGGCAACGGUAGGUCAGCAUGCCCCGAAUUAUCCGGGCUACACGCGGGCUACAAUGGUCAGGACAAUGGGUAUCAACACCGAAAGGUGAAGGCAAUCUCCUAAACCUGUCCUUAGUUCGGAUUGUGGGCUGCAACUCGCCCACAUGAAGCUGGAAUCUGUAGUAAUCGCGUCUCAAAAUGGCGCGGUGAAUAUGUCCCUGCUCCUU